rnacentral:rRNA from 1 species
AGUGAACGCUGGCGGUAGGCCUAACACAUGCAAGUCGAACGGCAGCACAGUAAGAGCUUGCUCUUACGGGUGGCGAGUGGCGGACGGGUGAGGAAUACAUCGGAAUCUACUUUUUCGUGGGGGAUAACGGAGGGAAACUUACGCUAAUACCGCAUACGACCUACGGGUGAAAGCAGGGGAUCUUCGGACCUUGCGCGAUUGAAUGAGCCGAUGUCGGAUUAGCUAGUUGGCGGGGUAACGGCCCACCAAGGCGACGAUCCGUAGCUGGUCUGAGAGGAUGAUCAGCCACACUGGAACUGAGACACGGUCCAGACUCCUACGGGAGGCAGCAGUGGGGAAUAUUGGACAAUGGGCGCAAGCCUGAUCCAGCCAUACCGCGUGGGUGAAGAAGGCCUUCGGGUUGUAAAGCCCUUUUGUUGGGAAAGAAAAGCAGCAGGUUAAUACCCCGCUGUUCUGACGGUACCCAAAGAAUAAGCACCGGCUAACUUCGUG